rnacentral:rRNA from 1 species
AGACAGGUGGUGCAUGGUUGUCGUCAGCUCGUGUCGUGACGAUGUUGGGUUAAGUCCCGUAACCGAGCGUCAACCCUUGUACCUUAGGUUACCAGCACGUUAUGGUGGGCACUCUAAGGAGACUGCCGGUGACAACCGGAGGAAGGUGGGGAUGACGUCAAGUCAUCAUGGCCCUUACGGCCUGGGCUACACACGUGCUACAAUGGUCGGUACAAAGGGUUGCCAAGCCGCGAGGUGGAGCUAAUCCCAUAAAACCGAUCGUAGUCCGGAUCGCAGUCUGCAACUCGACUGCGUGAAGUCGGAAUCGCUAGUAAUCGUGAAUCAGAAUGUCACGGUGAAUACGUUCCCGGGCCUU